CUAGGUUCUGGUAGCCACGCCCCGUCCCGCCCAGGUUGAAAAGGAGAAGCAAGCCUGCCCCCAAAAAGAAGUGACAGGAGGAGAGUCCCAUGAGUCGAUGGCCUCAGCUCCUGCACUCACCUCAUCCCAGGCCAUCUGUCUUCCUCUGGCAAGUUGCCUGACUUCGAGUGCUAUGCAGGGGCAUACACAUGCUGAUGCCUAUGGUCCCCACAGCCAGGGAGCCCCAGGGCUGCCCGCCUGCAGCACUUUGAAGAUUCCACCAUUUUCCUCCAUCACUGCCUUUUGAGAAAUCUGCCAUCAAUAUACUGUACUUCCAUUGACAGCCAGCCCUCUUGUUCUACUCAGGGCCUUGACUGGAUGAAGUCCACCCAUGGGAGGAACAGCAGUCAGCUAUGUCAGUCUACUGAGGCGGAUGUCAAUCUCAACCAGAAAUUCACGUUGCAGAGAUGGUCCAACAUAGUGCUGGAAUCAAACUGAAGGGUUCAGUCUGUUUGUGAUGUUCUGGAAGUGAAGGAGUUGGAGUGGGCGGAACCCAGCCUGAGACCCAGUCAAGGGAACUCAGCAGAUUGAUUUCACUUCUCUUCGAAUUUCACUUUACCUAACAAUAAAAGCAUGGAAGACAAUGUCUGGAUUCAAGGCCGAAGAUACACAAAAUUUUCAAUCGGUGGCAGGACAGUCCACAAUGGGGCUGCACACUGCAGAGCCAACGAUCCAGCAGCUGCUCAGAGGGAUCAAGGAGCGGCCAGUACAAGACUGAAGGCCUGAACUCCCUGGAGAGUCGCUGGUGUGAGCUGAUCUAAAGGCUGAAGAAACUGGAGUAUGCAGUUCACAGGCAAAGAGUAGCAGAAUAUGUUCCUGCUCAAGCUGAAUGGAGCUUUUCAUAUGCCCCCCUAACUUCCUUCUUCAGUGUUCAUUCUGAGCAGGCUGCAAGCCAACUGGAUGGUGCCACCCACGAUCAGGGCAGGUCUUCGACCUUCGGUUUGCUGGCCUGCGUGCCAAUCAUCUCUGGAAACGCCCCAGAGAAGCACCAGACUGCUUUACUAAUCUGGUAGGUGUUUCAGUAGAGUCAAGUGGAAAGUCACGAUUAAUGGUCGCAUGAUGAUCCACUCCACAAUCGCAGAUGAGACACCACUCUGUGCUGGGCAAGCGAAAGGUAAUGAUGGAUAGAGAACCGGUGGGGACUAAGUGGGUUUGGUGGCCUCCUCCAUGUGGAGUGGGAGUCUGUGGUUUGCAGGGUUACUUAGACACUAGGGGAUCCAAGAGAGAGUCUCCUGGGCAAAGACUGGGCCCACCGUGGAAAUUCCUUCUCAGAUGCCAGAGAAAUGGUUCCCUGUCUCUCUUUCCUGGGUUUCCUUGGGACGCCUUUGCAGACACUGUUUUGCAGACAGCACUGCAUUUUAAACAUCCGUAUUGAUUUUCCCUUCCCUUUUCCAGCAGAACCCUCCAGGCUCUGUUGACAGAGCACAGCACUGCUCUCUCUCUCUCCAGCUCUCUUCAGAUGCGGGGCACCAGAGCAGCUCUUCAGCCUAGUUUGGAAGAAGCUGGCUGGAGAGUUUCUGCUGCGGGGUCUCUGCAGAACACCCCUGCGUUCCUGGCCGCUGGUGCAAACAAGAGCAGCCAGCAUCAUGAAAUUAAGAAAAGGAGAAGAAUUCUUCAGGACUGGCAAGAACAUUGGGGGUUUUUCACUUGAAUUCUUGCUGGCUCAGUGCUCAGUGUUCUGAAACACAGCAGAGAUAUGCAGAGCCAGCCCUCCUGAAAUAGAAACUUCUGGAGCACAGAAGCCAGCACCAUGGCUCCAGGCCAGGCUCUUUUUUUUUUUU